rnacentral:rRNA from 1 species
UACAGAGGGGGCAAGCGUUGUUCGGAAUUACUGGGCGUAAAGGGCGCGUAGGCGGCCCGCUAAGUCGAACGUGAAAUCCCCGGGCUCAACCCGGGAACUGCGUCCGAUACUGGUGGGCUCGAAUCCGGGAGAGGGAUGCGGAAUUCCAGGUGUAGCGGUGAAAUGCGCAGAUAUCGGGAGGAACACCUAUGGCGAAGGCAGCUCGCUGGGACGUUACUGACGCUGAGACGCGAAAGCGUGGGGAGCGAACAGG